rnacentral:rRNA from 1 species
CCUACGGGAGGCAGCAGUGGGGGAUAGUGGACAAUGGGGGGAACCCUGAUCCAGCGACGCCGCGUGAGUGAAGAAGGAUUUCGGGAUGGAAAGCUCUGUCAGCAGGGAAGAAAGAAAUGACGGGACCGGACCAAGAAGCCCCGGCUAACCACGGGCCAGCAGCCGCGGGAAUACGUAGGGGGCAAGCGUUAUCCUGAAUUACUGGGUGUAAAGGGAGCGUAGACGGUGAAGUAAGUCUGGAGGGAAAGGCCGGGGCCCAACCCCGGGACUGCUCUGGAAACUUUUGAACUUGAGUGCAGGAUAGUUAAGCUGACUUCCUAUUGUAGCCGUGACAUGCGUAUAUCUUAGGAGGCACACCAGUGGCGACGGCGGCUUACUGGACUGUACCUGACGUUGAGGCUCGACCGCGUGGGGAGCAAACAGGAUUAGCUACCCGAGUAGUC